CAAUAGCGUAUAUUAAAGUUGUUGCGGUUAAAAAGCUCGUAGUUGGAUUUCUGCCGAGGACGACCGGUCCGCCCUCUGGGUGAGUAUCUGGCUUGGCCUGGGCAUCUUCUUGGAGAACGUAGCUGCACUUGACUGUGUGGUGCGGUAUCCAGGACUUUUACCUUGAAAAAUUAGAGUGUUCAAAGCAGGCGUUUGCUUGAAUAUAUUAGCAUGGAAUAAUGGAAUAGGACGCUGGUUCUAUUUUGUUGGUUUUGAGAACCAGAGUAAUGAUUAAUAGGGACAGUUGGGGGCAUUCAUAUUUCAUUGUCAGAGGUGAAAUUCUUGGAUUCACUCAAGACUAACUUAUGCGAAAGCAUUCACCAAGGAUGUCUUCUUUAAUCAAGAACGAAAGUUGGGGGAUCGAAGACGAUCAGAUACCGU
rnacentral:rRNA from 1 species